rnacentral:rRNA from 1 species
GGUUAAGUUAGAAAGGGCGCACGGUGGAUGCCUUGGCACUAGGAGCCGAUGAAGGACGGGACGAACACCGAUAUGCUUCGGGGAGCUGUAAGCAAGCUUUGAUCCGGAGAUUUCCGAAUGGGGAAACCCACCACUCGUAAUGGAGUGGUAUCCAUAUCUGAAUACAUAGGAUAUGAGAAGGCAGACCCGGGGAACUGAAACAUCUAAGUACCCGGAGGAAGAGAAAGCAAAUGCGAUUCCCUGAGUAGCGGCGAGCGAAACGGGACCAGCCCAAACCAAGAGGCUUGCCUCUUGGGGUUGUAGGACACUCUGUACGGAGUUACAAAGGAACGAGGUAGAUGAAGAGGUCUGGAAAGGCCCGCCAUAGGAGGUAACAGCCCUGUAGUCAAAACUUCGUUCUCUCCUGAGUGGAUCCUGAGUACGGCGGAACACGUGAAAUUCCGUCGGAAUCCGGGAGGACCAUCUCCCAAGGCUAAAUACUCCCUAGUGACCGAUAGUGAACCAGUACCGUGAGGGAAAGGUGAAAAGCACCCCGGAAGGGGAGUGAAAGAGAUCCUGAAACCGUGUGCCUACAAGUAGUCAGAGCCCGUUAACGGGUGAUGGCGUGCCUUUUGUAGAAUGAACCGGCGAGUUACGAUCCCGUGCAAGGUUAAGCAGAAGAUGCGGAGCCGCAGCGAAAGCGAGUCUGAAUAGGGCGAAUUGAGUACGUGGUCGUAGACCCGAAACCAGGUGAUCUACCCUCCCAGGGUGAAGUUCAGGUAACACUGAAUGGAGGCCCGAACCCACGCACGUUGAAAAGUGCGGGGAUGAGGUGUGGGUAGGGGUGAAAUGCCAAUCGAACCUGGAGAUAGCUGGUUCUCUCCGAAAUAGCUUUAGGGCUAGCCUCAAGGUAAGAGUCUCGGAGGUAGAGCACUGAUUGGACUAGGGGCCCCUACCGGGUUACCGAAUUCAGUCAAACUCCGAAUGCCGAUGACUUAUCCUUGGGAGUCAGACUGCGAGUGAUAAGAUCCGUAGUCGAAAGGGAAACAGCCCAGACCGCCAGCUAAGGUCCCAAAGUAUACGUUAAGUGGAAAAGGAUGUGGAGUUGCUUAGACAACCAGGAUGUUGGCUUAGAAGCAGCCACCAUUUAAAGAGUGCGUAAUAGCUCACUGGUCGAGUGACUCUGCGCCGAAAAUGUACCGGGGCUAAACGUAUCACCGAAGCUGCGGACUGUUCUUCGAACAGUGGUAGGAGAGCGUUCUAAGGGCUGUGAAGCAAGACCGGAAGGACUUGUGGAGCGCUUAGAAGUGAGAAUGCCGGUAUGAGUAGCGAAAGAGGGGUGAGAAUCCCCUCCACCGAAUGCCUAAGGUUUCCUGAGGAAGGCUCGUCCGCUCAGGGUUAGUCGGGACCUAAGCCGAGGCCGAAAGGCGUAGGCGAUGGAUAACAGGUUGAUAUUCCUGUACCACCUCCUCACCAUUUGAGCAAUGGGGGGACGCAGGAGGAUAGGGUAAGCGCGGUAUUGGAUAUCCGCGUCCAAGCAGUUAGGCUGGGAAAUAGGCAAAUCCGUUUCCCGUGAAGGCUGAGCUGUGAUGGCGAGCGAAUUAUAGUAGCGAAGUUCCUGAUUCCACACUGCCAAGAAAAGCCUCUAGCGAGGUGAGAGGUGCCCGUACCGCAAACCGACACAGGUAGGCGAGGAGAGAAUCCUAAGGUGAUCGAGAGAACUCUCGUUAAGGAACUCGGCAAAAUGACCCCGUAACUUCGGGAGAAGGGGUGCUCUGUUAGGGUGAAAGCCCGAGAGAGCCGCAGUGAAUAGGCCCAGGCGACUGUUUAGCAAAAACACAGGUCUCUGCGAAGCCGUAAGGCGAAGUAUAGGGGCUGACGCCUGCCCGGUGCUGGAAGGUUAAGAGGAGCGCUUAGCGUAAGCGAAGGUGCGAAUUGAAGCCCCAGUAAACGGCGGCCGUAACUAUAACGGUCCUAAGGUAGCGAAAUUCCUUGUCGGGUAAGUUCCGACCCGCACGAAAGGCGCAACGAUCUGGGCACUGUCUCAACGAGAGACUCGGUGAAAUUAUAGUACCUGUGAAGAUGCAGGUUACCCGCGACAGGACGGAAAGACCCCGUGGAGCUUUACUGCAGCCUGAUAUUGAAUGUUGGUACAGCUUGUACAGGAUAGGUAGGAGCCUUGGAAACCGGAGCGCCAGCUUCGGUGGAGGCAUCGGUGGGAUACUACCCUGGCUGUAUUGACCUUCUAACCCGCCGCCCUUAUCGGGCGGGGAGACAGUGUCAGGUGGGCAGUUUGACUGGGGCGGUCGCCUCCUAAAAGGUAACGGAGGCGCCCAAAGGUUCCCUCAGAAUGGUUGGAAAUCAUUCGCAGAGUGUAAAGGCACAAGGGAGCUUGACUGCGAGACCUACAAGUCGAGCAGGGACGAAAGUCGGGCUUAGUGAUCCGGUGGUUCCGCAUGGAAGGGCCAUCGCUCAACGGAUAAAAGCUACCCCGGGGAUAACAGGCUUAUCUCCCCCAAGAGUCCACAUCGACGGGGAGGUUUGGCACCUCGAUGUCGGCUCAUCGCAUCCUGGGGCUGUAGUCGGUCCCAAGGGUUGGGCUGUUCGCCCAUUAAAGCGGUACGCGAGCUGGGUUCAGAACGUCGUGAGACAGUUCGGUCCCUAUCCGUCGCGGGCGCAGGAAAUUUGAGAGGAGCUGUCCUUAGUACGAGAGGACCGGGAUGGACGCACCGCUGGUGUACCAGUUGUUCUGCCAAGGGCAUCGCUGGGUAGCUAUGUGCGGACGGGAUAAGUGCUGAAAGCAUCUAAGCAUGAAGCCCCCCUCAAGAUGAGAUUUCCCAUUCCGCAAGGAAGUAAGAUCCCUGAAAGAUGAUCAGGUUGAUAGGUCUGAGGUGGAAGUGUGGCGACACAUGGAGCUGACAGAUACUAAUCGAUCGAGGACUUAACCAA